CAGCCGCCGCGGUAAUACAGAGGGUGCGAGCGUUAAUCGGAUUUACUGGGCGUAAAGCGUGCGUAGGCGGCUUUUUAAGUCGGAUGUGAAAUCCCUGAGCUUAACUUAGGAAUUGCAUUCGAUACUGGGAAGCUAGAGUAUGGGAGAGGAUGGUAGAAUUCCAGGUGUAGCGGUGAAAUGCGUAGAGAUCUGGAGGAAUACCGAUGGCGAAGGCAGCCAUCUGGCCUAAUACUGACGCUGAGGUGCGAAAGCGUGGGGAGCAAACAGGAUUAGAUACCCGAGUAGUCCCUGUCUCUUAUAC
rnacentral:rRNA from 1 species